rnacentral:rRNA from 1 species
CCUACGGGGGGCAGCAGUAGGGAAUAUUGCUCAAUGGGGGAAACCCUGAAGCAGCAACGCCGCGUGGAGGAUGAAGGUUUUCGGAUUGUAAACUCCCUUUGUUAGAGAAGAUAAUGACGGUAUCUAACGAAUAAGCACCGGCUAACUCCGUGCCAGCAGCCGCGGUAAUACGGAGGGUGCCAGCGUUACUCGGAAUCACUGGGCGUAAAGGGCGCGUAGGCGGGAUAGCAAGUCAGAUGUGAAAUCCUAUGGCUUAACCAUAGAACUGCAUUUGAAACUGUUAUUCUAGAGUAUGGGAGAGGUAGGUGGAAUGCGUGGUGUAGGGGUAAAAUCCGUAGAGAUCAAGAGGAAUACUCAUUGCGAAGGCGACCUGCUAGAACAUAACUGACGCUGAUGCGCGAAAGCGUGGGGAGCAAACAGGAUUAGAUACCCGGGUAGUC